rnacentral:rRNA from 1 species
UACGAAGGGGGCUAGCGUUGCUCGGAAUCACUGGGCGUAAAGCGCACGUAGGCGGAUUCCUAAGUCGGGGGUGAAAUCCUGGAGCUCAACUCCAGAACUGCCUUUGAUACUGGGGAUCUCGAGUCCGGGAGAGGUGAGUGGAACUCCGAGUGUAGAGGUGAAAUUCGUAGAUAUUCGGAAGAACACCAGUGGCGAAGGCGGCUCACUGGCCCGGUACUGACGCUGAGGUGCGAAAGCGUGGGGAGCAAACAGG